GAACCAGAUGGCUGCACCAGGCUCCAAUCUUGAUCUGGCAGAGUUUCUACAGCUAGAUGCCCUUCCUAAUGCCAACCACUCCGAGAGUGUAGUGGGUGCUUUUUACGUGCCACCGGCAUGGGGGCCAGUCAGGCAGUACUGGCACCGACCUUGCUCGAAUCGUUUUACACAUGCCACUGGCACAGGUGCCAAUCAGGCGGUUCUG